UAAACAGCUGGCAGCUGAUGAAGGUGUC
rnacentral:sRNA from 1 species